GGAAAUGAGUAAAGCUCCCAAGGCAAAAACACCUAGAGAGAAGUCCAGGAGUUAAGCAGCAAAUGUUACUGACUAUACCUCUCCCAUUGCAUGGUCAGAUAAUUUCUAAAUAAAGUACACCACUGGCAUCCUACUAUCCACUAUAUUUUAAGUCCCUGAUAUUUAUGUUUAGAAAUACAGGUGCAGAAGAAUGGAAACUAAAGAUUAUUGUAACUACUCCAACUGCUGUGGGAAAUGGUUCAAGUUCCUUCACAACUAGAUGAAAGUAUCUGUUUCACAGAAGUUGUCUAAUGUUCUUCAUUUAUGUAAUAAAGCUAUGACUGUCUAUUAUGUCCUAUAUAGCAGGGCAGAAUACUGAUAUCAGGCUUAAAAAUAGCAAUAAUUAAAUGAAUGUCUACUGACUA